AGUACCAAUGAGGGAAGUUUCAUCAAAAAGAAAAGGUACCUAUGCAUCAGAGAUCUUAAGAAACAUACCCCAAAUUACACAGCAAGUAUCUUAUUUACUAAGGAGAGAGCAAAGCUCUUUGUACAUAUUUCUGUACCGAGUCUUAUGCACCAAUGUUUAUGGCAGCUUCGUUAGCAAUAGCCCCAAGUUGGCAACACGGCAAACGUCCACGAACAAGUGAACAGGCAAAUUGCAUUAUACCCAUAUCGUGGAAUAUUACUCAACAAGGAAAAAAAAAGAAUGGCUUAUUGAUGCCUGCAACAACAUGGACGAUUCACGGGCACGUGGAGCAGAGCUCCUGACCAUCUUGGCAGAUGACACUGUCCUCGGCUCACCUUCCCGAAUCAGAAGUCGACUGCGUUCCUAGGAUCUGCUCAUGCCACGCUCAGUGACCCCGGCCUCCUAGGCCUCAGCUCCAGCCCGCUCCCUAAGUCACCCCUCCUCCCAGGCCCCUAACGCCGCCCUCCCCAUCCGGCCAUCCCUCGUCACUCCCUUGAGUCACCCAGAGGGUUUGCUCAUCAGGCUCCUGGCUUCCUUUCCUGCCUUUUCUCCGUCGCAUCCUCCCGCAUCAAGCAACUGCGGUGAUCUCUAAAAAGCACGCUCUGCCCAGAAGUCUUCGUGGGCUCGGGCUGGAGCGAGGACGUGGGGUCGCCCCAUUUGUGCCCAUCGCGCCCCCAUGCCUGCCUGUGGGGCUUAAAAGGCCCACGAGAGCUCCUCUAGCUUGUGGACGGAGGCGCAGCGUCUAGGGAGGUUGGUCUCCCCCUUGGGUAAUGCCCCCUCUCCCUUGGCCCCCAGAGGUGCCCCUUCCUCGCACAGACCUUUUCUGAACUUGGGUCUGUCCCGGGACCUGCGCGUGACCCCUUCAGGAGCACCCCCCGUUCCCACAGGGCCCUUGUGCCUGGUGUGCCAGCUGGGUCCUGGCUAGCCUCACGCUCCACUUUUCAAAGAGAUCCAAAAGCUAUGACGACAGCGGUCGGAUUUGUCACUUCAGUGAUGAAAACGCAGUAAGAGAAAUAUAAGCCAGUCACUCGAUGUUCCUCAACGUCUCGCCUAUACAAUCACCUCCCAAUUUAAAGGAGAUUUGGAGAAGAAAUGGAGCACAUUUUCCGGAAGGCCAUCCACCACUUUAGUUCCAAACUAAGUUUCCACGGAAAAGGAGUUUUGGACACAAUGUUAAUACUUAUGAUGACUAACACAUUCACCUGUUGAGAAGUAGGA